rnacentral:snRNA from 1 species
GAUGUGAGGGCGUUCUGGCUGCAACAUCUGCCACCCCAUUGAUCACCAGGGUUGAUUCGGCUGAUCUGGCUGGCUAGGCUGGUGGCUAUGAUAACAUCACCCCAGAACUC